CCUACGGGAGGCUGCAGUGGGGAAUUUUGGACAAUGGGCGCAAGCCUGAUCCAGCUAUUCCGCGUGUGGGAUGACGGCCCUCGGGUUGUAAACCACUGUAGUAGAGAACGAAAAGGAGCUAUAGAAAAAAUAGCUCUGCUGACGGUACUCUAAGAAUAAGCACCGGCUAACUAUGUGCCAGCAGCCGCGGUAAUACCUAGGGUGCGAGCGUUAAUCGGAAUUACUGGGGGUAAAGGGUGUGCAGGCGAAUGGGUAAGACCGAUGUUAAAUCCCCGGGCUUAACCUGGGUACCGCAUAUGUGACUAGUUGGCUAGAGUUCGUCAGAGGGAGGUGGAAUUCCAUGUGUAGCAGUGAAAUGCGUAGAUAUGUGGAAGAACACCGAUGGCGAAGGCAGCCUCCUGGGACGCAACUGACGCUCAUACACGAAAGCGUGGGGAGCAAACAGGAUUAGAUACCCGAGUAGUC
rnacentral:rRNA from 1 species